UAUGAAUGGCUGCAUGAGGACCAAACUGUCUCCUUUGACCAAUCAAUGAACCUGAUCCCCCAGUACAAAAGCUGGGAUAAAACCAUAAGACGAGAAGACCCUGUGGAGCUUUAAAUAUAACUACUAACCAACACCACCCCACCAGGCCCACAACACCAAAAUAGUACACAUUUUUAGUUGGGGCGACUACGGAACCAAACAGAACUUCCAUGAUACUGGGACCCCCCCAGCCCCAGGUAAACAAACCGCCACUACUUUGACCCAGUAAUACUGACCAACGAACCAAGUUACCCCAGGGAUAACAGCGCCAUCCUCUUCAAGAGCCCAUAUCGCCAAGAGGGUUUACGACCUCGAUGUUGGAUCAGGACCCCCAGGUGGUGCAACCGCUACCAACGGUUCGUUUGUUCAACGAUUAAUAGUCCUACGUGAU
rnacentral:rRNA from 1 species